CCUAAAGUAUUCUAUUAUAAUUGCAGUUGCCAGUAUUUAUUAGUGGAAGAAGGGUAAUGAAUUCUAUAUAUUGAUUCACUCAGCCCAACAGCAGGACAAGUGAACAAAUAAACCAGGCGUAGAGAAGCAAAUAAUCAAAGAACUACAAUCUGAUCUUUAAAUUGUCCAAGUACAGAGGAAUCACAAAAGGUGCAGAUCUCCUGUAGAAGACGGAGGGACAGUCGACUCUACUUCCACUCUUCUUCACCUCCCCCAAAUCCUUUGGAGAACUCUUGUCAGACUUGGAAUAACUUAAAAAACUUUGUUAAAACAUUUUUUUUCCAUUAAAUUUUUGCCUUCUAUGAACAGCAUGUUUUGAGAACAUUUCAUUUAGAUGAAAGUGUUCCGACCAGUUA